rnacentral:lncRNA from 1 species
GCAAUUGCUUCGGGCAUGCGGAACGCUCGGCAAGGUCGUAGCCAAGUGAACGGCCUUGUUUUUUGCGGAAAAAGUAAAUGUGUGCUGCUUUUCGCGUCCGACGGUGCUGGCUUAGCCUUGCUUGGUGCUUCCGUAGACCCAAUGGCAACUGCUUCGGGCAUGCGGGACGCUGGGCAAGGUCGUAGCCAAGUGAAUUACCUUGUUUUUGCGGAAAAAAGUAAAUGUGUGCUGCUUUUUGCGUCCGACGGUGCUGGCUUAGCCUUGUUUGGUGCUUCCGUAGACCCAAUGGCAACUGCUUCAGGCAUACGAGACGCUGGGCAAGGUCGUAGCCAAGUGAAUGGCCUUGUUUUUGCGGAAAAAAGUAAAUGUGUGCUGCUUUUCGCGUCCGACGGUGCUGGCUUAGCCUUGCUUGGUGCUUCCGUAGACCCGACGGCAAUUGCUUCAGGCCUACGGGAUGCUCGGCAAGGUCGUAGCCAAGUGAACGGCAGGGCGUGUG